rnacentral:rRNA from 1 species
GACGAACGCUGGCGGCGUGCUUAACACAUGCAAGUCGAACGCUGAAGCUCAGCUUUUGUUGGGUGGAUGAGUGGCGAACGGGUGAGUAACACGUGAGUAACCUGCCCCCUUCUUUGGGAUAACGCCCGGAAACGGGUGCUAAUACUGGAUAUUCACUGGUCUUCGCAUGGGGGUUGGUGGAAAGGGUUUUUCUGGUGGGGAUGGGCUCGCGGCCUAUCAGCUUGUUGGUGGGGUGAUGGCCUACCAAGGCUUUGACGGGUAGCCGGCCUGAGAGGGUGACCGGUCACAUUGGGACUGAGAUACGGCCCAGACUCCUACGGGAGGCAGCAGUGGGGAAUAUUGCACAAUGGGCGCAAGCCUGAUGCAGCGACGCCGCGUGAGGGAUGGAGGCCUUCGGGUUGUGAACCUCUUUCGCUCAUGGUCAAGCCGCAACAAUGGUUGUGGUGAGGGUAGUGGGUAAAGAAGCGCCGGCUAACUACGUG